rnacentral:rRNA from 1 species
CGGGAGGCAGCAGUAGGGAAUAUUGGGCAAUGGGCGCAAGUCUGAUCCAGCCAUGCCGCGUGAGUGAAGAAGGCCUUCGGGUUGUAAAACUCUUUUGUUAGGGAAGAAAAAGGAUGAGAUUAAACCUUCAUCCCUUGACGGUAUCCAACCAAAAAGCCACGGCUAACUUCGUGCCAGCAGCCGCGGUAAUACGUAGGGGGCCAGCGUUGUUCGGAAUUAUUGGGCGUAAAGCGAGCGCAGGCGGUUUUUUAAGUCCGAUGUGAAAGCCCCCGGCUCAACCGGGGGGGGUCAUUGGAAACUGGGAGACUUGAGUGCAGAAGAGGAGAGUGGAAUUCCAUGUGUAGCGGUGAAAUGCGUAGAUAUAUGGAGGAACACCCGUGGCGAAGGCGGCUCUCUGGUCCGUCACUGACACUGAGGCUCGAAAGCGUGGGGAGCAAACAGGAUUAGAUACCCUGGUAGUCCACGCCGUAAACGAUGAGAACUAAGUGUUGGAGGCUUUCCGCCAUU